GACGAACGCUGGCGGCGUGCUUAACACAUGCAAGUCGAACGGGUCUGCCCUAUUUUUUGCGGGGUGGGUCAGUGGCGAACGGGUGAGUAACACGUGAGUAACCUGCCCCUCACUUCUGGAUAACCGCUUGAAAGGGUGGCUAAUACGGGGUGUUCUGGCUGUGCCGCAUGGUGUGGCUGGGAAAGAUUCACUUUUGUGGUGUUUUGGUGGGGGAUGGGCUCGCGGCCUAUCAGCUUGUUGGUGGGGUGAUGGCCUGCCAAGGCUUUGACGGGUAGCCGGCCUGAGAGGGUGGGCGGUCACACUGGGACUGAGAUACGGCCCAGACUCCUGCGGGAGGCAGCAGUGGGGGGUAUUGCACAAUGGGCGGAAGCCUGAUGCAGCGACGUCGCGUGAGGGAUGGAGGCCUUCGGGUUGUGAACCUCUUUCGCCGGUGAAGAAGGUCCUGCUCUUUGUGGUGGGGUUGACGGUAGCCGGGUUAUGAAGCGCCGGCUAACUACGUG
rnacentral:rRNA from 1 species